UACAGAGGGUGCGAGCGUUAAUCGGAGUUACUGGGCGUAAAGGGCGCGUAGGCGGUUUAAUAAGAUUGAUGUGAAAUCCCUGGGCUUAACCUAGGAACUGCAUCGAUGACUAUUAGGCUGGAGUAUUGUAGAGGGUAGUGGAAUUUCCGGUGUAGCGGUGAAAUGCGUAGAGAUCGGAAGGAACACCAGUGGCGAAGGCGGCUACCUGGACAAAUACUGACGCUGAGGCGCGAGAGCGUGGGGAGCAAACAGG
rnacentral:rRNA from 1 species